rnacentral:lncRNA from 1 species
CCUUUUAUCGUUUUGUCGGUUUCUUGACAAAAAGGGGGAGAUGAUGAUGAUGUUUUUUAGUUAAUUUUAGUUGUUAGAUGCAUGAUUUUAGAUGUUAGAUGCAUGUGUAGGUGCAUGAUGCUGUGCUGAUGGUGAUGUUUUUAGAUGAGAUGCUGAUAAUGAUGUAUUAAGAUAUGACUGUUUAUGUUUGAUCGUUAAUGAAAUUUCUUGGAUCUUGAUUGUGUUUUGAAAAUGUUUAUUGCAGGAACUUUCAAGACUUCAAGACUUCAUGUCUAAGUCAUAGAGUUUGUAGUAAGAUUGUGAAAAAAUAUAAUUUUUUCUUUUAUUGAAUCGAUCAUGCAGGAGAUUGUCGUUUGGUGAUUGCGAUGAUCUUCUUUUUAUUGUUUCUGAGUUGUGUACGAGUGUUGUAAUAUGUUUUGUCACGAAAUCGCCAAAGGGGGAGAUUGUUAAGGAUUUUCUAGGUUGGCGGAUUUCGUAAAGUCAAAUGGAGUCUUGAAGAGUUGAUCGCGGUAGUUUGAAGAGAAGAUUCAACUUGAAGAG